CCUACGGGAGGCAGCAGUAGGGAAUAUUGCUCAAUGGGGGAAACCCUGAAGCAGCAACGCCGCGUGGAGGAUGACGGUUUUCGGAUUGUAAACUUCUUUUGUUAGAGAAGAUAAUGACGGUAUCUAACGAAUAAGCACCGGCUAACUCCGUGCCAGCAGCCGCGGUAAUACGGAGGGUGCAAGCGUUACUCGGAAUCACUGGGCGUAAAGAGGGCGUAGGCGGGAUAGCAAGUCAGAUGUGAAAUCCUAUGGCUUAACCAUAGAACUGCAUUUGAAACUGUUAUUCUAGAGUAUGGGAGAGGUAGGUGGAAUUCGUGGUGUAGGGGUAAAAUCCGUAGAGAUCAAGAGGAAUACUCAUUGCGAAGGCGACCUGCUAGAACAUGACUGACGCUGAUGCGCGAAAGCGUGGGGAGCAAACAGGAUUAGAUACCCGAGUAGUC
rnacentral:rRNA from 1 species